rnacentral:rRNA from 1 species
AUUGAACGCUGGCGGCAUGCUUUACACAUGCAAGUUGAGCGGCAGCGCGGGGCAACCUGGCGGCGAGCGGCGAACGGGUGAGUAACACAUCGGAACGUAUCUUCAAGUGGGGGAUAACCUAUCGAAAGGUAGGCUAAUACCGCAUAAGCAAGGGAUUGGAAAGCGGGGGAUUCGCGAGGACCUCGCGCUUUUGGAGCGGCCGAUGUCGGAUUAGGUAGUUGGUGGGGUAAAGGCUCACCAAGCCUGCGAUCCGUAGCGGGUCUGAGAGGAUGAUCCGCCACACUGGGACUGAGACACGGCCCAGACUCCUACGGGAGGCAGCAGUGGGGAAUUUUGGACAAUGGGGCAACCCUGAUCCAGCCAUGCCGCGUGAGUGAAGAAGGCCUCGG